rnacentral:rRNA from 1 species
GAGUUUGAUCUUGGCUCAGAUUGAACGCUGGCGGCAUGCUUUACACAUGCAAGUCGAGCGGCAGCGCGGGGCAACCUGGCGGCGAGCGGCGAACGGGUGAGGAAUACAUCGGAACGUGUCCCGUAGUGGGGGAUAGCCCGGCGAAAGCCGGAUUAAUACCGCAUAUGCUCUACGGAGGAAAGCCGGGGAUCCUGCGAAGGACCUGGCGCUAUGGGGGCGGCCGAUGUCCGAUUAGCUAGUUGGUGGGGUAAAGGCCCACCAAGGCGACGGAUCGGUAGCUGGUCUGAGAGGAUGAUCAGCCACACUGGGACUGAGACACGGCCCAGACUCCUACGGGAGGCAGCAGUGGGGAAUUUUGGACAAUGGGGGGCAACCCUGAUCCAGCCAUGCCGCGUGCGGGAAGAAGGCCU